rnacentral:rRNA from 1 species
GAUUAAACUGAAGAGUUUGAUCCUGGCUCAGAUUGAACGCUGGCGGCAUGCUUUACACAUGCAAGUCGAACGCGAAAGGGGGCAACCCUGAGUAGAGUGGCGAACGGGUGAGUAAUGCAUCGGAACGUGUCCUGUAGCGGGGGA